CUUUGAUAAUCUUAUUGUGGAGCUGAAACUCAAUUGAUGAUACAAUUGAUGGAGCGGCGACAAGACAACAUCCAGAAAUAGAACACGUUAAUUACGGGGCCAACCGAUAAGAGACCGAUGCUGUGCAGAGAAAAGGGGUGAGCAAAAGGGAACGGUAAAGGCAAAAGGCAAAGGCAAAACGCAAAGCCACAGCAGAGAGAGAGAGAGAGAGUCGUCAAAGUUGAGCAAGGCAAUGGGCAGCAGAAUUAUUUUCUGCAGUUCAAUAAAAGUUACCACUGGGCUACGGGGAACAUCCACUGUAAAGUGAAAUAUUUCUGCAGAAAGCGUGGCACUCCCCGACAUCUAAAAUGUACUUUUACACACUAUCCCCCACACA
rnacentral:lncRNA from 1 species